UACGGAGGGUGCAAGCGUUAUCCGGAUUCACUGGGUUUAAAGGGAGCGUAGGUGGGUUGGUAAGUCCGUGGUGAAAUCUCCGAGCUUAACUUGGAAACUGCCAUGGAUACUAUCAGUCUUGAAUAUUGUGGAGGUCAGCGGAAUAUGUCAUGUAGCGGUGAAAUGCUUAGAUAUGACAUAGAACACCAAUUGCGAAGGCAGCUGGCUACGCAUAUAUUGACACUGAGGCUCGAAAGCGUGGGGAUCAAACAGG
rnacentral:rRNA from 1 species